rnacentral:rRNA from 1 species
GCGGAGGAAAAGAAACUAACAAGGCUUCCCCUAGUAACUGCGAGUGAAGCGGGAAAAGCUCAAAUUUAAAAUCUGGCAGUCUUUGGCUGUCCGAGUUGUAAUCUAGAGAAGUGUUGCCCACACUGGACCGUGUAUAAGUCUUCUGGAAUGAAGCGUCAUAGAGGGUGAGAAUCCCGUCUUUGACAUGGACUCCCAGUGUAUUGUGGCGUGCUCUCAAAGAGUCGAGUUGUUUGGGAAUGCAGCUCUAAAUGGGUGGUAACCUCCAUCUAAAGCUAAAUAUUGGCGAGAGACCGAUAGUGAACAAGUACCGUGAGGGAAAGAUGAAAAGAACUUUGGAAAGAGAGUUAAACAGUACGUGAAAUUGUUGAAAGGGAAACGCUUGAAGUCAGUCACAUUGGCCAGGGAUCAAGCCAGCUCUUUUGUUGGGUGUAUUUCCUGGUUUGAUGGGCCAAUGUCAGUUUUGACUGCUAGAGAAGGACAGAGGGAAUGUGGCACCUUCCGGGGUGUGUUUUUAUAGCCUUUUGUCAUAUAUAGCAGUUGGGACUGAGGAAUGCAGCGCGCCUACAAGGCCGGGUUUCGACCACGUUCGCGCUUUGGAUGUUGGCAAUAAUGGCUUUAAUCGACCCGUCU